UCCUUAUACAGGUCAAAAGUUAAGACUGAAGUUGUGUUAUAAGAAGAGCAACAGUGGAGGAACAAGGAGAGGAACUUCAAAGUAAAAAAAAUAAUUCUAAAGUCUUGGGAAAACCAUGAACAAUUUCCUGAGUAUCCAGUCCACACUUUCCUGACAUAUGUAAAACUGCAAAUUUCUCUAUCAUUACAUGAUUGAGAAAAUACAAUAAGAAGGUGAAGGGAAAUAUGAAAUGGUUGAUUCACGCUUUUGAGAUGUGCAUCUCUCAUUUCUGAUACAAGUGACUGGUUCCUCUGAAUUGCUCCCAGCAGCUUACACCAUUCUCUUUUAUGCAGGACCAAGAAGUGACCAAGACACUUUUAUCUUGUGUCAGCCUGCAAGUCUUCAUCUGAGCUGCUCUUCUUCCUUGUCUUGAUUAUGUCCCAGAAUUUGAACUUAAAUUGCAGGUUAGUGCACAAAGAUGGAUGUUGUCUUUGCUUUUUGAAUACCAAGAAACACCUGUUGGUUUUUUUUAGAGUUCAAAGCAGAACUCUGUGUUUCUGAAACACCUUUAAGUAUAACAGUGGGAGACCUCCUUUUCCCCAUUGGUAUUCCCAUUCUCUUUCUUAAAGAAAUUGUUCUGCAAUUUACUUCACCAUGCCGGCACAAAUUUGUUGGAAGAAUGUUGAUAGCAUGACAACUUCACGUUAGCAGGAUGUAUGCUAGCUUGGGUCCUGUGUGUCACAUUGUUCUGACUUCACAUUAAUUCAGGAACUGCACAGCCAU